rnacentral:rRNA from 1 species
UCGGAUGCGAACGCGAUGUAUCGGCUGGCCAGUAUCAUGGCAGACGGUGUGAGGAACGCGUACUUAACCUGACGCGUGAUGGGGGAUAGUCUCUCGAAAGAAGGUUGAAUACCGCAUAGGCUCUUGAUGUGGAAGGCUUCAUCGCAGGAAAGUUGGCCUCUGCGAGCAAGCUGAUGUCUCGCGAGGGGGGUGCGUCCUAUUAGCUAGCUGGUAGGGUAAUGUGCCUACCACGGCGACGAUGGGUAGCUGGUCUGAGAGUGAUGAUCAGUCACACUGGGACUGAGACACGGCCCAGACUCCUACGGGAGGCAGCAGGGGGGAAUUCUGCGCAAUGGGGGCAACCCUGACGCAGCAACGCCGCGUGAGUGAAGACGCCUUUCGAGGUGUAAAGCUCUGUCAGUGGGGACGAAGGUCUGGUGGUGAACAGUUAUCAGGCGUGACGGUACCUGCGAAGGAUGCCCCGGCUAACUCCGUGCCAGCAGCCGCGGUCAGACGGAGGGGGCUAGCGUAGUGCGGAAUCACUGGGCGUAAAGCGCGCGUAAGCGGCGUGCCAAGUGCGAAGUGAAAGCCCUCGGCUUAACCGGGGAAUGGCUUCGAAGACUGGUAGGCUUGAGUGUCGGACGGGGAUGCGGAAUUCCUGG